rnacentral:rRNA from 1 species
CUGGCUCAGGAUGAACGCUGGCGGCGUGCCUAACACAUGCAAGUCGAGCGAUUACUUCGGUAAAGAGCGGCGGACGGGUGAGUAACGCGUGGGUAACCUGCCUCAUACACAUGGAUAACAUACCGAAAGGUAUGCUAAUACAGGAUAAUAUAAGAGAUUCACAUGGAUUUCUUAUCAAAGCUCCGGCGGUAUGAGAUGGACCCGCGUCUGAUUAGCUAGUUGGUAAGGUAAUGGCUUACCAAGGCGACGAUCAGUAGCCGACCUGAGAGGGUGAUCGGCCACAUUGGAACUGAGACACGGUCCAAACUCCUACGGGAGGCAGCAGUGGGGAAUAUUGCACAAUGGGCGAAAGCCUGAUGCCAGCAACGCCGCGUGAGUGAUGAAGGCCUUCGGGUCGUAAAACUCUGUCCUCAAGGAAGAUAAUGACGGUACUUGAGGAGGAAGCCCCGGCUAACUACGUGCCAGCCGCUGC